AUACGGAGGGUGCAAGCGUUACUCGGAAUCACUGGGCGUAAAGCGCGCGCAGGCGGUCUUUUAAGUUGGAUGUGAAAGCCUACGGCUCAACCGUAGAACUGCAUCCAAAACUAUUAGACUAGAGUGUGGGAGAGGAAGAUGGAGUUAGUUGUGUAGGGGUAAAAUCCGUAGAGAUAACUAGGAAUACCAAAAGCGAAGGCAAUCUUCUGGAACACUACUGACGCUGAGGCGCGAAAGCGUGGGGAGCAAACAGGAUUAGAAACCCUAGUAGUCC
rnacentral:rRNA from 1 species